AUUGAACGCUGGCGGCAUGCCUUACACAUGCAAGUCGAACGGCAGCACGGGUGCUUGCACCUGGUGGCGAGUGGCGAACGGGUGAGUAGAGCAUCGGAACAUGCCCAGAUAUGGGGGAUAGCCCGGCGAAAGCCGGAUUAAUACCGCAUAAUGCCUGAGGGAGAAAGCGGGGGACUCGUAAGGGCCUCGCGUAUUUGGAGUGGCCGAUGUCGGAUUAGCUGGUUGGUGGGGUAAAGGCCUACCAAGGCGACGAUCCGUAGCGGGUCUGAGAGGACGAUCCGCCACACUGGAACUGAGACACGGUCCAGACUCCUACGGGAGGCAGCAGUGGGGAAUUUUGGACAAUGGGGGCAACCCUGAUCCAGCCAUGCCGCGUGAGUGAAGAAGGCCUUCGGGUUGUAAAGCUCUUUCGGUGGGGAAGAAAUGGUCGUGGUAAAUAAUCGCGAUUGAUGACGGUACCCAAAUAAGAAGCACCG
rnacentral:rRNA from 1 species